AUUGAACGCUGGCGGAAUGCUUUACACAUGCAAGUCGAACGGCAGCACGGACUUCGGUCUGGUGGCGAGUGGCGAACGGGUGAGUAAUGUAUCGGAACGUGCCCAGUCGUGGGGGAUAACGUAGUGAAAAUUACGCUAAUACCGCAUACGAUCUAUGGAUGAAAGCGGGGGAUCGCAAGACCUCGCGCGAUUGGAGCGGCCGAUAUCAGAUUAGGUAGUUGGUGGGGUAAAGGCCCACCAAGCCAACGAUCUGUAGCUGGUCUGAGAGGACGACCAGCCACACUGGAACUGAGACACGGUCCAGACUCCUACGGGAGGCAGCAGUGGGGAAUUUUGGACAAUGGGCGAAAGCCUGAUCCAGCCAUUCUGCGUGCAGGAUGAAGGCCCUCGGGUUGUAAACUGCUUUUGUACAGAACGAAAAGGUUUCUACUAAUACUAGGAGCUCAUGACGGUACUGUAAGAAUAAGCACCGGCUAACUACGUGCCAGCCGCCGCCUAA
rnacentral:rRNA from 1 species